rnacentral:rRNA from 1 species
UACGAAGGGGGCUAGCGUUGCUCGGAAUCACUGGGCGUAAAGCGCACGUAGGCGGGUUGCUAAGUCAGGGGUGAAAUCCUGGAGCUCAACUCCAGAACUGCCUUUGAUACUGAGAAGCUUGAGUCCGGGAGAGGUGAGUGGAACUGCGAGUGUAGAGGUGAAAUUCGUAGAUAUUCGCAAGAACACCAGUGGCGAAGGCGGCUCACUGGCCCGGUACUGACGCUGAGGUGCGAAAGCGUGGGGAGCAAACAGG